GGUGAACGCUGGCGGCGUGCCUAACACAUGCAAGUCGAGCGGUGCAGUUUGAAGCUUCGGUGGAAAGCUGCAUAGCGGCGGACGGGUGAGGAAAACGUAGGAACGUGCCCCUUGGAGUUGGAUAGCCACGGGAAACUGUGGGUAAACCGACAUAGACUCGAGAGAGUAAAGGCCGAAAGGCGCCAAGGGAGCGGCCUGCGGCCCAUCAGGUAGUUGGUAGUGUAAAGGACUACCAAGCCGACGACGGGUAGCCGGUCUGAGAGGAUGGCCGGCCACAAGGGCACUGAGAGACGGGCCCUACUCCUACGGGAGGCAGCAGUGGGGAAUAUUGCACAAUGGACGAAAGUCUGAUGCAGCGACGCCGCGUGAGGGAUGAAGGCCUUCGGGUUGUAAACCUUUUUCGCUUUUGACCAAGGCAUCAUUUUGUUGGUGUUGAGGGUAUGAGGUAAAGAAGCUCCGGCUAACUACGUG
rnacentral:rRNA from 1 species